GACGAACGCUGGCGGCGUGCUUAACACAUGCAAGUCGAACGGAAAGGCCCUGCUUUUGUGGGGUGCUCGAGUGGCGAACGGGUGAGUAACACGUGAGUAACCUGCCCUUGACUUUGGGAUAACUUCAGGAAACUGGGGCUAAUACCGGAUAGGAGCUCCUGCUGCAUGGUGGGGGUUGGAAAGUUUCGGCGCUUGGGGAUGGACUCGCGGCUUAUCAGCUUGUUGGUGGGGUAGUGGCUUACCAAGGCUUUGACGGGUAGCAGGCCUGAGAGGGUGACCGGCCACAUUGGGACUGAUGUGCGUCCCAGUCUCCUACGGGAGGCAGCAGUGGGGAAUAUUGCACAAUGGGCGGAAGCCUGAUGCAGCAACGCCGCGUGCGGGAUGACGGCCUUCGGGUUGUAAACCGCUUUCGCCUGUGACGAAGCGUGAGUGACGGUAAUGGGUAAAGAAGCACCGGCUAACUACGUG
rnacentral:rRNA from 1 species